rnacentral:rRNA from 1 species
AUUGAACGCUGGCGGCAGGCCUAACACAUGCAAGUCGAGCGGAUGAAGGGAGCUCGCUCCUGGAUUCAGCGGCGGACGGGUGAGUAAUGCCUAGGAAUCUGCCUGGUAGUGGGGGAUAACGUCCGGAAACGGGCGCUAAUACCGCAUACGUCCUGAGGGAGAAAGUGGGGGAUCUUCGGACCUCACGCUAUCAGAUGAGCCUAGGUCGGAUUAGCUAGUUGGUGGGGUAAAGGCCUACCAAGGCGACGAUCCGUAACUGGUCUGAGAGGAUGAUCAGUCACACUGGAACUGAGACACGGUCCAGACUCCUACGGGAGGCAGCAGUGGGGAAUAUUGGACAAUGGGCGAAAGCCUGAUCCAGCCAUGCCGCGUGUGUGAAGAAGGUCUUCGGAUUGUAAAGCACUUUAAGUUGGGAGGAAGGGCAGUAAGUUAAUACCCUGCUGUUUUGACGUUACCAACAGAAUAAGCACCGGCUAACUUCGUG